ACAAAAUAAAAGUCACGCAUUUUAAAGCUAAAAAUGUCUGAGAUGAUUCAAAACCCAAAACACGCAGAGUUGCAUUUAUUUACAAGCAACAUAUUAAGGCCAGUAAAUCUCCUAAACUGAAGCUUUUGUCUUCUCCAGAUGUUAACUGAUGGACUGGAGUGGUGUGGAUUAUUGUGAUGUUUUUAUCAGACUCUCAUUCUGACGGCACCCAUUCACUGCAGAGCAUCCAUUGCUGAGACACUGAUGCAGAGACACAUUUCUACAAACCUGAUGAAGAAACAAACUCCUCCUGAUCUCAGAUGAACUGAGGCGAACAGAUGUCUAUAGAGAAAAACAUCUUGAAGAAGAUGAUGCACAUCUGCGGUCAGAAGAAACAGCUGCUGCCUGUGAUUUAGGUAAGUUAUGUUUUUAUUAUCAGGGUUGCUGGUCUGUUUAUCAGCAGUGAAGAUGCUGGGUGGCUUGUUGAAACACAAAUAUUGUUGUUUUGAAAUCACUGUAUUUCUGUAUUGUGCGCUGCUGCUGUAGAGUCUGUUUCAGUCAAUUCAGUUCAUAGAGAUCAGCUGAAUCUUUCAUUCUCAGUUAAAACAACACAGAACUAAAUGUUUUGGGUUCUUCUUCCAGUUUGUUUGUGUUAGAAAAAGCAUAUUAUAACAGAAAUAGCUGUUAUAGAAGUUUUAUGUAAAAUCAACGUGGUGCCAAAGUUACUGCUUGCAAUGAUGGUUUACUGCACUCGUUCAAUACAUUACUGAUGAAGAAAAUACAUUUUAGGCUCUGAAGUCUCAUACAAAAUGGGUAUAAAUAUGGUCAGUUAUAUAUAGGGCUUUAUACAAUACAGUUUGGUUAAAAGCAGCUUUACAUUAAUAAACAAGAAAACAGCAUGU